UGGGUCUGUGACAGUGGGUCUGUGACAGUGUGAGAGUGGGCCUGUGACAGUGUGACAGUAGGUCUGUGACAGUGUGAGAGUGGGUCUGUGACAGGGUGAGAGUGGGUCUGUGACAGGGUGAGAGUGGGCCUGUGACAGCAUAAGAGUGGGGCUGUGACAGUGUGAAAGUGGGUCUGUGAAAGUGUGAGAGUGGGUCUGUGACAGUGUGAGAGUGGGUCUGUGACAGUGUGAGAGUGGGCCUGUGACAGUGUGAGAGUAGGUCUGUGACAGUGGGUCUGUGACAGUGUGAGAGUGGGCCUGUGACAGUGUGAGAGUAGGUCUGUGACAGUGUGAGAGUGGGUCUGUGACAGUGUGAGAGUGGGUCUGUGACA